rfam:Danio rerio chromosome 4, GRCz11 reference primary assembly.
GCAUUGGUGGUUCAGUGGUAGAAAUCUCGCCUCCCACGUGGGAGACCUGGGUCCGAUUUCCGCCCAAUACA